rnacentral:rRNA from 1 species
CUACGGGACGCUCCAGUGGGGAAUAUUGCACAAUGGGGGAAACCCUGAUGCAGCAACGCCGCGUGGAGGAUGACGCAUUUCGGUGUGUAAACUCCUUUUAUAUCCCAAGAUAAUGACGGUAGGAUAUGAAUAAGCACCGGCUAACUCCGUGCCAGCAGCCGCGGUAAUACGGAGGGUGCAAGCGUUACUCGGAAUCACUGGGCGUAAAGGGCGCGUAGGCGGGUUGUCAAGUUUUGAGUGAAAUCCAACGGCUCAACCGUUGAACUGCUUGAGAAACUGGCAGCCUAGAGUAAGGGAGAGGUAGAUGGAAUUGGUGGUGUAGGGGUAAAAUCCGUAGAGAUCACCAGGAAUACCCAUUGCGAAGGCGAUCUGCUGGAACUUUACUGACGCUGAGGCGCGAAAGCGUGGGGAGCAAACAGGAUUAGAUACCCCCGUAGUC